rfam:Streptomyces sp. 769, complete genome.
CUUCAUGGAGCCGAUCAGCACGGGCCGGUCCGCGGGGCGCUGCUGCCCGUACGUGGCCAGCAGGGCGUGCGCCUC